rnacentral:rRNA from 1 species
UACGAAGGGGACUAGCGUUGUUCGGAAUUACUGGGCGUAAAGCGCACGUAGGCGGAUUUGUAAGUCAGGGGUGAAAUCCCGGGGCUCAACCUCGGAACUGCCUUUGAUACUGCAAAUCUCGAGUCCGAUAGAGGUGGGUGGAAUUCCUAGUGUAGAGGUGAAAUUCGUAGAUAUUAGGAAGAACACCGGUGGCGAAGGCGGCCCACUGGAUCGGUACUGACGCUGAGACGCGAAAGCGUGGGGAGCGAACAGG